rnacentral:rRNA from 2 species
UUGACCUCAAAUCGGGUGAGACUACCCGCUGAACUUAAGCAUAUCAAUAAGCGGAGGAAAAGAAACUAACAAGGAUUCCCCUAGUAACUGCGAGUGAAGCGGGAAAAGCUCAAAUUUAAAAUCUGGUGGUCUUUGGCCAUCCGAGUUGUAAUUUAGAGAAGCGUCUUCCGCGCUGGACCRUGCACAAGUCUCCUGGAAUGGAGCGUCAUAGAGGGUGAGAAUCCCGUCUUUGGCAUGGAUCCCAGGGCUUCUGUGAUGCGCUCUCGACGAGUCGAGUUGUUUGGGAAUGCAGCUCAAAAUGGGUGGUGAACUCCAUCUAAAGCUAAAUAUUGGCGAGAGACCGAUAGCGAACAAGUACCGUGAGGGAAAGAUGAAAAGCACUUUGGAAAGAGAGUGAAACAGUACGUGAAAUUGUUGAAAGGGAAACGCUUGAAGUCAGUCGCGUUGACCGAGACUCAACCUUGCUUUGGCUUGGUGUAUUUCUCGGCUGACGGGUCAGCAUCAAUUUUGACCCUCAGAUAAUGGCAAGGGAAAGGUGGCACCUUUUAGGUGUGUUAUAGUCCCAUGUCGCAUGUGAGGGUUGGGAUUGAGGAACUCAGCAUGCACCUCUGGGUGUCGGGGCUUUGGCCCACGUUACAUGCUUAGGAUGCUGGCRUAAUGGCUUUAAACGACCCGUCUUGAAACAC